UUUAAGCUUCCUACGGGAGGCUGCAGUGGGGAAUUUUGGACAAUGGGCGCAAGCCUGAUCCAGCCAUGCCGCGUGCGGGAAGAAGGCCUUCGGGUUGUAAACCGCUUUUGUCAGGGAAGAAACGGUCUGAACGAAUACUUCGGACUAAUGACGGUACCUGAAGAAUAAGCACCGGCUAACUACGUGCCAGCAGCCGCGGUAAUACGUAGGGUGCAAGCGUUAAUCGGAAUUACUGGGCGUAAAGCGUGCGCAGGCGGUUGUGCAAGACAGAUGUGAAAUCCCCGGGCUCAACCUGGGAACUGCAUUUGUGACUGCACAGCUAGAGUACGGCAGAGGGGGAUGGAAUUCCGCGUGUAGCAGUGAAAUGCGUAGAUAUGCGGAGGAACACCGAUGGCGAAGGCAAUCCCCUGGGCCUGUACUGACGCUCAUGCACGAAAGCGUGGGGAGCAAACAGGAUUAGAUACCCUUGUAGUCGAACU
rnacentral:rRNA from 1 species